UCCGGUUUGUCACCGGCAGUCUCCCUAGAGUUCCCGGCCGAACCGCUGGCAACUAGGGACAAGGGUUGCGCUCGUUGCGGGACUUAACCCAACAUCUCACGACACGAGCUGACGACAGCCAUGCAGCGCCUGUGCACGCGUCCCGAAGGAGGGCCUGGCUUUCACCAGGCUUGCACGUGCAUGUCAAGUCCUGGUAAGGUUCUUCGCGUUGCGUCGAAUUAAGCCACAUGCUCCGCCGCUUGUGCGGGUCCCCGUCAAUUCCUUUGAGUUUUAGCCUUGCGGCCGUACUCCCCAGGCGGGGUGCUUAAUGCGUUAGCUUCGGCACGGAGAGGGUUGAAGACCUCCCCACACCUAGCACCCAACGUUUACGGCUGGGACUAC
rnacentral:misc_RNA from 1 species